ACUCAAAUGAAUUGACGGGGGCCCGCACAAGCAGUGGAGUAUGUGGUUUAAUUCGAAGCAACGCGAAGAACCUUACCAAGGCUUGACAUAUUAGUGAAUAUGGCAGAAAUGUCAUAGCCCUUCGGGGCACUAUUACAGGUGGUGCAUGGUUGUCGUCAGCUCGUGUCGUGAGAUGUUGGGUUAAGUCCCGCAACGAGCGCAACCCCUGUUGUUAGUUGAUAACAUUUAGUUGAUCACUCUAACGAGACUGCCGGUGAUAAAUCGGAGGAAGGUGGGGACGACGUCAAAUCAUCAUGCCCCUUAUGUCUUGGGCUACACACGUACUACAAUGGCUAUUACAAUGAGAUGCUAAGCUGCAAAGUGGAGCAAAUCUAUAAAAAUAGUCUCAGUUCAGAUUGUGGGCUGCAACCCGCCCACAUGAAGUCGGAAUUGCUAGUAAUGGCAGGUCAGCAUACUGCCGUGAAUACGUUCCCGGGCCUUGUACACACCGCCCGU
rnacentral:rRNA from 1 species